GCCAGGCAUGGCGACGCAAGCCUGUAAUCCCAAUGGCUCUGGAGGCAGAGGCAGGAGGAUCGCAAGUUCAAAGCCAGCCUCAGCAAUGGCGAGGUGCUAAGCAACUCAGUGAGACCCUGUCUCUA
rnacentral:sRNA from 1 species